UGAAUUUAAGCAUAUCAAUAAGCGGAGGAAGGAAGAA
rnacentral:rRNA from 1 species